rnacentral:rRNA from 1 species
GCAUAAUCAAUAGUUUUUUAAUUGGGAACUGGAAUGAAGGGUUAGACUAAAGAGAAGGUUUUGUUUAAUUAUUUUGAAUUUAAAUUAAAAGUAAAAAUGCUUUUAUAGAGCUUUGGGACGAGAAGACCCUAGAAGCUUAAAAAAUUUUUUGUUGGGGUAACAUUUGAAGAUAAAGAUUUUUGAAAGUUACUCUAGGGAUAACAGCAUUAUUUAAUUAGCGAGUUCUUAUUAAUAAUUAAGUUUGUGACCUCGAUGUUGAAUUAAUU